UACCACUUGUUGCCUCGGCGGAUCAGCCCGCUCCCGGUAAAACGGGACGGCCCGCCAGAGGACCCCUAAACUCUGUUUCUAUAUGUAACUUCUGAGUAAAACCAUAAAUAAAUCAAAACUUUCAACAACGGAUCUCUUGGUUCUGGCAUCGAUGAAGAACGCAGCAAAAUGCGAUAAGUAAUGUGAAUUGCAGAAUUCAGUGAAUCAUCGAAUCUUUGAACGCACAUUGCGCCCGCCAGUAUUCUGGCGGGCAUGCCUGUUCGAGCGUCAUUUCAACCCUCAAGCACAGCUUGGUGUUGGGACUCGCGUUAAUUCGCGUUCCUCAAAUUGAUUGGCGGUCACGUCGAGCUUCCAUAGCGUAGUAGUAAAACCCUCGUUACUGGUAAUCGUCGCGGCCACGCCGUUAAACCCCAACUUCUGAAUGUUGACCUCGGAUCAGGUAGGAAUACCCGCUGAACUUAAGCAUAUCAAUAAGGCGGAGGAA
rnacentral:rRNA from 1 species